rnacentral:tRNA from 1 species
CAGAAGAUAAUUUAAAUAAAAUACUAAUUUUGGAUAUUAGCAUUGAGAAAUUCUCUCCUCUGA